UAUUCGACCCACAUCCGACCCAUC
rnacentral:siRNA from 1 species